GCCGCCAUGUUGCUGGAUUCCCUCCCCUUCACCACGUCACGGACGCAGACUGCCCGCUACUUCCUGUGGGCGUGCCCGGGGACGGAUCCACAGCUUCUCGCGGGGGGGGGGAGGGGAAGGUAACCGCCGCGCGGCACACCCAACCUUCACACGAGUUCACCCACUCAGCGUCACCGUGGAAUCGGUUAUCUACGGUGCAACAUCAGAGAGAAAAAAAGCUGCUUAAACCAGUAAGAUAUGGGCUGCCACCCCUACGGAGGUCAGGAAUGGUAUCGCCUGAUAAAGGGCGGGAACGCGGCGAACAUGUGUUAGUGUGUCAUUGGGCAGAGCAGCUGUCUGUCAGAGUGAGGGGGAGGAGCUACCAUCUCGAGAGCGGGACGUCAUCUGCCAGUGGGUGACGUUGCACACCGAC